AGAGUUUGAUCCUGGCUCAGAAUGAACGCUGGCGGCGUGCUUAACACAUGCAAGUCGUACGAGAACGCUUCAGCUUGCUGAAGCUAGUAAAGUGGCGUACGGGUGAGUAACGCGUGGGUAAUCUACCUUCGAAUUGGGGAUAACGUUGCGAAAGUGACGCUAAUACCGGAUAAUAUCAUAGAGACCUUGGUUUUUAUGAUCAAAGAUGGCCUCUCCUUGGAAGCUAUUGUUUGGAGAUGAGCCCGCGUCCCAUUAGCUUGUUGGUGGGGUAAUGGCCUACCAAGGCUACGAUGGGUAGCUGGUCUGAGAGGAUGAUCAGCCACACUGGAACUGACACACGGUCCAGACUCCUACGGGAGGCAGCAGUGAGGAAUUUUGCGCAAUGGGGGAAACCCUGACGCAGCAACGCCGCGUGAGUGAUGAAGGCUUUCGGGUCGUAAAGCUCUGUCAAGUGGGAAGAACUCCCGUGAGGUUAAUACCCUCAUGGUUUGACGGUACCACUGAAGGAAGCACCGGCUAACUCCGUGCCAGCAGCCGCGGUAAUACGGGGGGUGCAAGCGUUAUUCGGAUUUACUGGGCGUAAAGCGUGCGUAGGCGGUUUCGUAUGUCGGAUGUGAAAGCCCACGGCUCAACCGUGGAAUGGCACCCGAAACUACGGGACUAGAGUGCAGGAGGGGAGAGUGGAAUUCCUGGUGUAGCGGUGAAAUGCGUUGAUAUCAGGAGGAACACCGGUGGCGAAGGCGACUCUCUGGAAUGCUACUGACGCUGAGGCACGAAAGCGUGGGGAGCCAACAGGAUUAGAUACCCUGGUAGUCCACGCCGUAAACGUUGCGCACUUGGUGUUGGAGGUAUUGACCCCUUCAGUGCCGGAGCUAACGCGUUAAGUGCGCCGCCUGGGGAGUACGGCCGCAAGGCUAAAACUCAAAGAAAUUGACGGGGGCCCGCACAAGCGGAGGAGCAUGUGGCUUAAUUCGAUGCAACGCGAAGAACCUUACCAGGGCUUGACAUGUAACUGCUACUCCUGUGAAAGCAGGAUUCCUUCGAGGGUGUUACACAGGUGCUGCAUGGCUGUCGUCAGUUCGUGCCGUGAGGUGUUGGGUUAAGUCCCGCAACGAACGCAACCCUUAUGUUUAGUUGCAAUCGUCGGUGAUGAGCCGGCGAGCACUCUAGACAGACUGCCCGUACAAGCGGGAGGAAGGUGGGGACGACGUCAAGUCAGUAUGGCCCUUACGCCCUGGGCUGCACACGUGCUACAAUGGCCGGUACAAAAGGCUGCAAUACCGCAAGGUGGAGCUAAUCCCCAAAGCCGGCCUCAGUUCGGAUUGGAGUCUGAAACUCGACUCCAUGAAGUCGGAUUCGCUAGUAACGGCGCAUCAGCUACGGCGCCGUGAAUACGUUCCCGGGCCUUGUACACACCGCCCGUCACAUCAUGAAAGCCGUCUGCACCCGAAGUCGCUGAGCUAACCCGCAAGGGAAGCAGGUGCCGAAGGUGUGGGUGGUGAUUGGGAUGAAGUCGUAACAAGGUA
rnacentral:rRNA from 1 species